rnacentral:lncRNA from 1 species
CCGAACCUGCCGCCGAAAGUGCCCUGUCCAGUUGGCUUUUGCAUGUGUUAUGUGAUAGUGAGAGGGUCUUUUAGAGGGCUUUUGGGGGAGUUCGUAGAACUGUUAUGGAGUGAGUUUGGUCCCUCAUCUGAGUCCACUUGUGUAGGAACGGACCAGAGAAACCGGGGAGAUCAGCAGUGAGCACUGCUCCGGAACCUGCAAAGUCAGUCUACAGUCAGCCAGAGGUGAGUGGGACUAACUAUGCAUAUUUUAAAUUCAAGAAUGUUUUAGCAUGAUUCAUGCAUCAUAAUUGCCAUAAUGUUAG